rnacentral:rRNA from 1 species
CCUACGGGAGGCAGCAGUGGGGAAUAUUGCGCAAUGGGCGAAAGCCUGACGCAGCGACGCCGCGUGAGGGAUGAAGGUCUUCGGAUCGUAAACCGCUGUCAGCAGGGAAGAAAGGUCACUGUGCCAAUCAGCAGUGCAUUGACGGUACCUGCAAAGGAAGCAGCGGCUAACUCCGUGCAAGCAGCGGCGGUAAUACGGAGGGUGCGAGCGUGAUCCGGAUUUACUGGGGGUAAAGGGUUCGUAGGCGGUAUGUCAAGUCAAGGGUGAAAUCCCCGCGCUCAACGUGGGAACUGCAUUUGAAACUGGCAAUCUGGAGUGUUGGAGAGGAUAGUGGAAUUCCAGGUGUAGGAGUGAAAUCCGUAGAUAUCAGGAGGAACAUCAGUGGCGAAGGCGACUAUCUGGCACAUAACUGACGUUGAGGAGCGAAAGCGUGGGUAGCAAACAGGAUUAGAUACCCGUGUAGUC